rnacentral:lncRNA from 1 species
GCCAAUGUGUCAGUGGUGGACCUGACCUGCCGUCUGGAAAAACCUGCCAAUUAUGAUGACGUCAAGAAGGUGGUGAACCAGGCAUCGGAGGGCCCCCUCAAGGACAUUCUGGGCUACACUGAGCACCAGGUUGUCUCCUCCGACUUCAACAGUGACACCCACUCUUCCACCUUCAGUGAGGGGGCUGGCAUUGCUCUCAACGACCACUUUGUCAAGCUCAUUUCCUUGUAUGACAAUGAAUUUGGCUACACCAACAGGGUGGUGGAU